rnacentral:rRNA from 2 species
UACGAAGGUCCCGAGCGUUGUUCGGAAUCACUGGGCGUAAAGGGAGCGUAGGCGGUUUGGUAAGUCAGAUGUGAAAUCCCGGGGCUCAACCCCGGAACUGCAUCCGAUACUGCCGGACUUGAGUUUUGGAGAGGUAGCUGGAAUUCACGGUGUAGCAGUGAAAUGCGUGGAUAUCGUGAGGAACACUCGUGGCGAAAGCGAGCUACUGGACAACAACUGACGCUGAGGCUCGAAGGCCAGGGGAGCGAAAGGG